AGGGCGGUAGCUCAGCUGGGAGAGCGUCGCGUUCGCAAUGCGAAGGUCGGGAGUUCGAUCCUCCUCCUCGCGACGA
rnacentral:tRNA from 1 species